rnacentral:sRNA from 1 species
ACGUACCGAAGUACGUUCCGGUUGCUGUGCUCCGUCCGCCUCGCCUGAGACCCGCUCGCGACGCUUUUUCAGCC